ensembl:lncRNA
AUGUGUGUCAAUAGGAGUUUCAGUGCCACAGUUCAACAGCAGAUCUGCUGUUUACACAGGCUAAGUGGUGAUAUCCUUCCUGCUCCUUUCAGCAAAAGUGGAGUCAAGGAGGCAUUCAAAGGUUCAAAAAGGGUGCAUGAAUCAGCCACCAGAGACAACCUGAAGGGUGAGGACCUCUCUGCUCUUCCCACCACUACAAUCAGCCUAAUACCCUGUUAGCUCUUCAAGCUGAACCAGAGUACACAAGAGGACCUGCUGACCACAGACAGAAGCUGCCUCUGACCAUAAACCUCCCCUGAACCAUGGAAGACCGUGUCAGUCAAGCUCAAUACCUUUUCAUCUGAGCUCUGGGAAAGCCUUCUCUUUCGUUGCUGCAAGAUCUCACUUACUCCCACAGGGAGUUUUCAGCAGGUUGUUAGCAGGAGGAAUGUUGGUCACUAUUUGGUCUGUCUGUUAUCACUAGAAUUGGAACACAAACAACACCCAUUUUCAGCCCCUUGUUUUUUCUUUCAAUAUUUGUCAGCAAUAAAGAACAGGAAAUAUAAAAUAAAAAUAUAAAAGCAACAUAUUUUUCUUACACUUUAAAUACAUACACUUUAAACUCUGCUUGUAUAUAAACUGUUCAGCCAUUUUUAUAAAAAUAAAAAUAAAUAAUAAUUAAUACUUUUAUUCAUCAAGAAUACUGAAGUUGAUUAAAAAAAAGUGACAGUCAAGACAUUUAUCAUGUUACAAAAUAUUUAUUUCAAAUAAAUGCUGUUCUUUUUGCACUUUCUAUGCAUCAAAGAACCCAAAAAAAUGUAUCAUGGUUUCCAUAAAAAUAUAAAAAUAUGUUUUUAACAUUGAUAAUAAGAAAUGUUUUCUGAGCACCAAAUAUUGUUGUUUUUACUGUAUGUUUUUAUUUAAAAAUGCAGCCUGGUAAGCAUAAGAGACUUUUUCAAAAACAUUUUUUAAAUCUCUUACCAACUCAGUAUAUGCUAAUAUAAUAAAUUCAUAAAUAUCAUUAAGCUUUGGGGGAGUCAAGCAACAUGAUAUUUUACAACCUAAACUGAACCUAAACUGAAUUUAAAAAAAGAAAAAAGAAAGAAAGAAAGUGAAAAAAAUAAAAAGAAAAGAAAUAAUACUAAAAAUGCUUUUACUAAAAAAAACCCUUUUUUUCUUCAUUAUGAUGUCAUGAAUAAUGCAUCACACAGACAAUUUUGAAUUUAUGCACACCUAAAACAAUUUUUUUUUAUUAUUAUUAAAAAAAAAAUAAAAAGUUGCUUAUUGAAGAAGAGGUGUAUACAAUUUAUGGUAUGUAUGAAUCAUUUGUUAAUGUAUUUUUAAUAAAUGAAAGGAUAUGAAAUUAAAAUUUGCUCAGAAUUUGUUUCUUACAAACAUGCAGCCUUUCACAUCACAAGACAUUAAUUGAUGGACAGGAGUUGUGUGGAUUAUUGUGAUGUUUUUAUCAGCUGUUUGGAUGCUCAUUCUGACGGCACCCAUUCACUGCAGAAGAUCCAUCGGUGAGCAAGUAAUGUAAUGCUAAAUUUCUCUAAAUCUAAUCAGAUGAAGAAACAAACUCAUCUACAUCUUAGAUGGCCUCAGGGUGAGUGAAUAUUCAGCAAGUUUUCAUUUUUGGAUGAACUAUUCCUUGAACAGAAGGGACACAAAAAGAGCAUCAUUUCAUUGAACCUAAUGCGUUUAGUUACAAAAAAGAGUGCAGUGUAUUUCAGAUUUCCUUGACACAUUUUACCAUGUUCUGCAGAAUUCCACAGAUUUGCUCCUCAAAUCAAUGCAGAAAGUCUGAAAAAAAAAAAGAUUCCAUCUGAGUCUAUUACUUAGCAUUAGGAGCCAGGAUUGCUUGUGUGAUACCGCUGUGGUAUACAGUAGAGGCCAGGGUUGCAAGACUGCAAAACACUGUUGAACACACAGGAGAUUAGCAGGAACAUUCCCCUGUACACAAAUGCAGACAUGACAGAUGAUUUUGUUGUGCACCUGACGCAGGGCAAGGGGUGUUCUGCAGGGCUGCUGCCUCUCCCAGCGACACACAACUACAACUGAACAUCCCUUCUGCCAAAUAAUCUGACACACUUUCCCUCUCUCUGCAGUCUAUUGCCGUUUCAGCAUUGUUAGAAAUCAUGUCACUCUGUUCGUCUCUCUCCCUCUCGUACCCACUCCCUUCCCCUCUCUCCACGAGAAGAUGGAUGAAAAGCGGCGGUAUCACGGCUUCUUUUAGUUAAGCUGCAGAAACAGCAUGAGAUUAAUAAAUUCAAUAUGAAUAGAGAGUUAAUGAAAGGAGCCUCUCCCCCUCCCUUUCAGCUGUGUUUUCUGUCGUCUGAGGAGCCUGUAAGUAGCAGCAGUGAAAAGCAGGAGUCAGCAGAAACAGCCCCUGGAUCGCAGACAGACUUUGACCUCUGCAGAUUCCUCUGUGGCAGCUCACUCUGUCAUUCCUCUGCAGUUCCUACCAAUAAACACAUCAACACUUAGAUCUGACACAAUAUGGCACAAUUCUUUUUUUUUUUUUGUAGUCAAAGUACAAACAGUUGUGCAUGAAUUGACUCCAGUAUCGCAUGAAGUUAAGUCAUUGCAUUAUAAGGGGGAAACAACUGGGAAUGUUUUACCAAUGUUACCCUGCUCCCCCCCCCACCCCCCCCCCCACCAUGUAAAAAAUUUACUUUUGAGAGAGUUUAUCUUUUCUUUAUAAUAAAUAAAUUGCAAUCACUUUUUGUUCCAGUGAAAUAAUAAAAUAAAAUAAAAUAAAAUAAAAUAAAAUAAAAUAAAAUAAAAUAAAAUAAAAUAAAAUAAUAUGAACAUUUAGGGAAUCUUAAGAUUUUUUUCUUUUUAGGAAAAUAAUAGUUUUAUUUAACAAGAAGGCAUUAAAUUGUUUAAAGUGACAGUAAAGACUUUCAUAUUAAGGUUUAUAUUUCAAAUAAAUGCUGUUCUUACUGUUCAUCAAAGAAGCUUGUAUUAAAAAGAACUGCAAUUUCCACAAAAAAUAAAUAAUAAUUAAAAAAAAAAUUAAGCAACACAGCCUUUUGAUACAAAUAAUAAAUGUUAUUUGAUCAGCAAAGCAUCAUAUUAAAACGAUUUCUGAAGUAUCAUGUGACACUGAAGACUGGAGUAAUGGCUUUUGAAAAUGGCAGUUUUGCCGAAUAUAUUACAUUUUUAAUUUGCCAUAAUAUUUCACAAUAUUUACUGUAUUAUCAAAUAUAGGGCUUGGUGAGCAUAAGAGACUUCUUUUAGAAACAUUAACCCCAAACUUUUGAAUGAUACUUUUGAAUGAUAAUAACAAACACAUGUAAUGUGUGAAAUAUGUAUUUUAAAAAAGUUUUAAAACUUUUUACAUGGAAGCCAAGACAUAUUCCAUCAUCAGCACAUGCUUAGGUAGGGGACAGAGCCCCUAAGAUUAAAAUCCUUUUGACAUUCAGUCAAAUCUGUGGUGCACAUUACAGAUAUAGUAU